CCCGAGCCUCAUCUCCGUCCCGAGUUCCUCCUCGUGAGCUGUGACACCGCUCCUCUUCAUGGCAAGCUGUGCAAGCUUUUGCACACGUACAGUUUCCUGUGAAAAUAGAACAAAGUUGAACAAAGAGACGUUGUGACGCAAGAGAUCUUGCAGUCGAAAACAAGGCAGGCAGAAGCACAGCCUAGGAUAGAUGUACAUGGCCCACAGCCAGCAGAUGUGCAUGAAGAGGUGAGCAGAGACAACGCCAAACGAGCAGCAACACCAGCGGAGCUACGGAGCAGCCAGAAUUCCGGAAGA